AUAUUUUUCAGUGCUUCUGGCUUAUGAAGAUGCUGAUUUAGAAAAUGUCCACUGUUUCACAGAGUUUUUGUAUGGCGUGGGAAUCUGGAAAAACCAGUCAAUUCCGGUUCUUCCCAAUCGAAAAAAAUCAGAAUCUACUGAACUAGUAAAAUCUAUGCAUGAUCUAAACCUAAAAGUUCAUGUUUACACUUUUAAAAAUGAUGAUGACCUAGCCUGGAAAUACUUUCAGGAUCCUGCAGAGGAAUUAGAGCAGUUUUAUAAACUUGGUGUUGAUGGAUUUUUCACAGAUUUUCCUCCAACCCUGGCUAGGUUCCUAGAUUGUAAAAAUAUAUGUUAAAGGGUCUGUAAACACAAUUUCAUGUGAUCUUCCAUUCAAAGAGAGCCAUGUCUGACUAACAACGAUACCUUUAAAAGCUUUGUCAGAUCAAAUAUGAAUUAUGAUAUUCAUUUUUAUAAUUUUGAAAACUAAUUAUUUUUAAUUUUGGUUUCUUUACAAAAGUGACUUGCGCAUGUCUAUUUGUAAGUAUACCAGGGAUCGGCUGUAUGAAUAUCAUUGAUCAGAGAAACGUUUCAAUGGUACCGUUGUGUAUCAGGCAUGUCCCUCUCUAUAAAUGAUGGUUCACUUGAAAUUACGCAUUCAGUCCCUUUGAUUGUGCCAUUAUUAGAAAUUCUCCAGUAAACAAAUUGUCUAGUCUAAAUAUUAAUAAAUUAUAAGUUUAUUGAAAUA